rnacentral:lncRNA from 7 species
AUUCUAAUCACACCAUAGCUAUUUCAAUGUCACAUUGUAGUCACAUCACAUAGCUUGGUAAUAAUUAUUUAACUUUAUUGCUAAGCUGAAUAGUUUUCUGUUUGCUCAAGGAUGACUUUAACUUGUAGUCAGAACUGAUUACCACAUGCUCAUAAAUGAGCUCUUCUCAUGUAUGCAGGGUUAGCCUGUGUUAGGAAGGGAAAAAACAGUGAAAUUUCAGAGAACUAAUCAUGGCUGGAUUCGAGCUACUAAUGGUCACAAAUCAGAAUAGUACAAUGUUUCUGCUGUUUUCUGAAGCUACAUUAGAAAGCCAGAGGUGUUUACUUGAAGUUCUGCCAUGUUAAUGUUUAUGUGCUUGCUUUAAAAUGCUGUAGUUCUUUAACUAAUCAUGCAUUGUUAACCUCUUGGAAAAGGCAGCGCUUCAGACUACGGUGUUUGCACAGCAGAUUGUAAAAUUGUGUCUCAGAGCUCCAAGGGGGCUAGAACUGUCACGAAUACUUCUAAUAAUAUUGGAAGAAAAUUAAUAGAAGCUCAAGUCCUUGAGCAGGAAUCAGAAUCACACAGCACGGCAUUACGCAGCCUCUGAAAUUUGAGGAACUGCUGUACAACAUUUCCCAUGUUCAGUUGAGUAGCCAUGUUUUAUCCUCCAGUAAAUGUUUAUUCGGCUGAUCUUACAUUUGGGAAAACUACGGUAUGUGGUGUUUGGUCAAAUGGCAGCUAUGUAACGUUAUUUAUACUGUUCCUUAAUAGCCUUCUUUCUUUACCAUGAUGUAUUAGGCCUUUGUCUGCAUUUAAGAACACUGGUCUCCUAAUCACAUCAUAACCUAUUAGAAUGACUUUUGUAUUACAGCGUAUUAACUAUUCAUCCACAUCACUGCAUGUUAUCUUUGCCUCCAUAUUAUUAUGUAUCAAAUUCUUUUCCAUAUCAUAUUUGACGCGAAUUCUAGCAUGCUAGAAACUGACUCCAAUUAUUCUGUACUAGCUAUAGUCAAAUUGCACUAAAUGGAAUUGCUUACAUUGUAUCAUACUGGCUACAGGCUCGCACAAUACAUUAUAAAUGAAACUGAUUCACAUUGUGCUUAGCUAACUAAAGACUUUAAUCUUGAAGUGUUGAGCAUAAAAUGCUAUCAUUCUUCACUGAACUGGCUCUGGUCACUUGAUCAUUUUGUACCUGGGAUUACCUCUUACAGUCUGUUAUUAUUAAAGCAAAAUGGCUUUUUUCCUCUCCUGCAGUUCUACCACUUUCUGUGGAGAGCUGAUUCAUAUUCUAAUGAGCGAGCUCUUAGCAUCAUGCCAUCACACUGCAACACUGGAACCUGACCUACAGCACACCUAUAGCAUGUUCCCUUCAGUCCAGCAUAAUGAGAAAAUACAUUAUAAACAAUUUUGUGUGUGUGUUCAAAUAGCAGGUUACGCGCUAGCUGUUUAGCAGUCCUUACUAUUAUCCCAGGAAGCCGUGUUUUUUAAACGUUGCUUUAAUCACACACAAGUACAGCUUUGGUCCCGUCUUGAAUAGGAAUUAUUCAAGGCCAAAUUGCCAGUCCUGCCGAGAUCAUUCAGAGUGCUCUUGAUGUGGUUGUUCCUUGAACCAUCUGCUGAAAGACUAGAGGAGUGGCAGGUAAGAUGUGAGGUUUCCCCAUGUAUGGGCAGUAUUUAAUCCAUGAAGUAGUUCACCUUCAUAGGGCAGGCGUUUGCUUUUUACUGCACUGACAUUUUUCUGUCCUUGACUCAGGCUUGUGGCACAAUCUGGUCUCAUGGUAACCUCAGGAAAUCCAGUUCUUACAUGAUGUACCUAUACCAAAAAGCAAUGCUUAUCUUUUUUACUCCUAACCUCCAAAACUUUAGGGAUUUUAUAAAUGCCAAAGAGGAGUAUGCCGCAAAGUUUCAUAAGAGCAUACAGAGAGGAUUAUUGAGCCUGUUUUCUUCAUGUUCUUGCUGGCACAUGUCUUUUGUCCGGAUGUUAUAUAUCUGAAUGCAUUUUUGGAGCUUUCUUCAGAGUUUCCCCCUCUCCCUGGGCGUAGGGAUUGAACACAGAGUCUUACUUAUACAAAACAGUGGCUGAAGAAAGCUUUACUAAAUUGUUUUCAUUUCCACCAAAAGGACUGAGGAGCACUGUGAGACUGACUGUUCUUUGUGCUGAACUCAAGAGACAGCAAACUCAAUACUGGGUCUCAAUGGAAGAGCAAGGCAGGAAGAUGUGUUAUAAUUUGAGGAGCUGAUAAGCUUCAUAUUCUGAAAUUACAGCUUGAAAAGUACCCUAUACUUUUUAAAUUAAAUAAUUUAUGUUAUUUAUUGAGGAAAAUGCCACGGAUUUGAUUUGGUGGGUUUUUUGUUGUUGUUGUUUGGUUUUUGUUUGUUUGUUUUCAUAUUAAAAAAACCACAAGCUU